rnacentral:lncRNA from 1 species
CAUCGUUUGGGUGGCUGUCUAUUCUGACGGCUAGAUUGGGUCAGAUAUUCAUUUCUCCUGCUAUUCAUACCAAAUCCUACCUCUAUACAUCCCUAUGUCUCAUAGUGCGUCUGAUUUAAUCCUGCCCAUGCCCAGUUAUGCAUAGGCAUGUGUGGUAAAUGGGUGAUUCUUCCUACAAGUUCACUUGAAGGCCAGAAUUUGCCUGACUGCAGCAGGCACCCAAACAGGAUUAUUUGGAGAGAAACCUCAUCUCGACUGCAGUCCUAACUAUCACAAUGCCCAGGAAAUGUUUCAGGUUAAAUGCUGGAAGCCAGAGGACAAGGAGACUCUUUGUAGACAAGAAUUGAGAUUAUUCACAAUUAUAUUCAUAAUUGAGCACCUUC